rnacentral:rRNA from 1 species
UACGUAGGUGGCAAGCGUUGUCCGGAAUUACUGGGUGUAAAGCGCGUGUAGGCGGGAGGCCAAGUCUGCUGUGAAAUCGCUCGGCUCAACUGGGCGGGGUCGGUGGAAACUGGUCACCUGGAGGACGGUAGAGGCGAGUGGAAUUCCCGGUGUAGUGGUGAAAUGCGUAGAGAUCGGGAGGAACACCAGUGGCGAAGGCGGCCUACUGGGCCGGACCUGACGCUGAGGAGCGAAAGCGUGGGGAGCGAACAGG